GUAAUAUUGAGAGAACUCCUGGUUUCCAUGGUGAUUUUACUAUGUUUAUGCCUUGAUAGAUUCCCCCGUAUAUGAGGAGAAAUGAAGCCAUUAUGGAUUUUCUCACAGUCUGAGUAUGUGCAAUACAUGUUCCUGAAGAAGAUAUUUCCGCGGAUGCUUCUAAUCUAUCACCCUGUGAGUUUAGAACUCAAGAAAGCUUGCC